rnacentral:lncRNA from 1 species
UUGGGGAGGGGCUCUCUGAGUGUCACCGGACCUCCGUCCAGGGGUUCGCACUCGCUCACGCGCCCCCAUCGUCUCUACUGCAUACGGUGGCUGGAGGUUUAAAAACCUCGCCUUCCAACGCCGAUUAAAGGUAUAUUCCUUUCCCUUUUAUUUUCUACAAUAUUUGCAUGUAUUUAAAGAGAAAAAUAAUAAUCACCUGAGUAUUCUUUCUUGACUGUCGAUUUUUAGUAUAAAAAAUGAGUUCAAAAAAUGAGUUCUGUUUUUUUAUUGAAUCUCUCUCCGUGUCAUAUUACAAGUCUGAAGAAGGGCUUUAUAGCCUUUAAACUAUGCAUAUUUAGGAAAGAAAUCUUUGAUUUCUUUCCUUGCUUGUUCGAGUUUAUCUGCUGCUAUUUGUCAUCUUUUGUCUGUUUAGUUUCCUUUUCUGCUCCGUUUUCCUUUCUCUUUUAGCAAGUAAUCAAGGAAAAUCCAGCGAUGAUUGUGCUGGUGACGUAGAUCUACCGGUGGCGUUGAUCACGGCGUGACUCGGAGCCUGGAAUCGUGGCCUUGAUGGUGGGCAGCUGGAACGACGAUAACUGAAGGGACGUGACACUUGGCCUAGCUUCUGGAUCCUUCCGUUUGCGGCAUCUAGGGUUCCAGAAACCCUAGGUCUUCCCUCAUCUGUUAAACAUUUGGGCCUCUUGAGCCCCGGGUGUAAUGGGUCUGUUGGGUUUAGACUAAAACCGAGUGUAAGACUUUUGGUAGUUGGGUCGGGUAUAGGGUAGUGGUAGGUUUACUGGGUUGUAACCGGUUUUGGGCUUAUCAGGCCUUGAGGCCUGUUUAUUUGUAAAUGGACUGUUUC